rnacentral:rRNA from 1 species
CCUACGGGUGGCAGCAGUGGGGAAUAUUGCACAAUGGGGGAAACCCUUAUGCAGCGACGCCGCGUGAGUGAAGAAGUAAUUCGUUAUGUAAAGCUCUAUCAUCGGGGAAGAAAAUAACGGUACCUGAGUAAGAAGCCCCGGCUAACUACUUCCCAGCAGCCGCGGUAAUACGUAGGGGGCAGGCAUUAUCCGGAUUUACUGGGUGUAAGGGGAGCGUAGACGGCAGUGCAAGUAUGUAGUGAAAGGCUGGGGCUCAACCCCCGGACUGCUCUGGAAACUGUACGGCUGGAGUGCAGGAGAGGUAAGUGGAAUUCCUAGUGUAGCGGUGAAAUGCGUAGAUAUUAGGAGGAACACCAGUGGCGAAGGCGGCUUACUGGACUGUAACUGACGUUGAGGCUCGAAAGCGUGGGGAGCAAACAGGAUUAGAUACCCCUGUAGUC